rnacentral:tRNA from 1 species
ACCAGGAUAGCCAAGUGGUUAAGGUGUUGGGCUUAAGAUUUAAUGGAUAUAUGUCUGCAUGGGUUCAAACCCUGCUCCUGGUA